CGGGGCGUAGCGCAGCCUGGUAGCGCAUCUGCUUUGGGAGCAGAGGGUCGCUGGUUCAAAUCCAGUCGCCCCGACCA
rnacentral:tRNA from 1 species